rnacentral:rRNA from 1 species
GCAGUCGAACGAGCUUCCGUUGAAUGACGUGCUUGCACUGAUUUUAACAAUGAAGCGAGUGGCGAACUGGUGAGUAACACGUGGGAAAUCUGCCCAGAAGCAGGGGAUAACACUUGGAAACAGGUGCUAAUACCGUAUAACAACAAAAUCCGCAUGGAUUUUGUUUGAAAGGUGGCUUCGGCUAUCACUUCUGGAUGAUCCCGCGGCGUAUUAGUUAGUUGGUGAGGUAAAGGCCCACCAAGACGAUGAUACGUAGCCGACCUGAGAGGGUAAUCGGCCACAUUGGGACUGAGACACGGCCCAAACUCCUACGGGAGGCAGCAGUAGGGAAUCUUCCACAAUGGACGAAAGUCUGAUGGAGCAAUGCCGCGUGAGUGAAGAAGGGUUUCGGCUCGUAAAACUCUGUUGUUAAAGAAGAACACCUUUGAGAGUAACUGUUCAAGGGUUGACGGUAUUUAACCAGAAAGCCACGGCUAACUACGUGCCAGCAGCCGCGGUAAUACGUAGGUGGCAAGCGUUGUCCGGAUUUAUUGGGCGUAAAGCGAGCGCAGGCGGUUUUUUAAGUCUGAUGUGAAAGCCUUCGGCUUAACCGGAGAAGUGCAUCGGAAACUGGGAGACUUGAGUGCAGAAGAGGACAGUGGAACUCCAUGUGUAGCGGUGGAAUGCGUAGAUAUAUGGAAGAACACCAGUGGCGAAGGCGGCUGUCUAGUCUGUAACUGACGCUGAGGCUCGAAAGCAUGGGUAGCGAACAGGAUUAGAUACCCUGGUAGUCCAUGCCGUAAACGAUGAGUGCUAAGUGUUGGAGGGUUUCCGCCCUUCAGUGCUGCAGCUAACGCAUUAAGCACUCCGCCUGGGGAGUACGACCGCAAGGUUGAAACUCACAGGAAUUGACGGGGGCCCGCACAAGCGGUGGAGCAUGUGGUUUAAUUCGAAGCUACGCGAAGAACCUUACCAGGUCUUGACAUCUUCUGCCAAUCUUAGAG